UUGCAGUAGACUGGACUUAUGCGUAUAACUGCACCCUUUGUAGAGUGAAGAGUAUGAAGUGUUUUGACAAGGAGACAUGCUUUCCUGUGAAGCAGGGACUUCGCUGGCCUCUGAAUCUCAUUUUUAUGAGCUGCGCCAUCUCCACAUUAGUGGGAGUUUUCACCUGUUGCUAUGAGUUCAGAAAUCUGCCGCCAGGCGUGUCCCCGACGCACUGAGGGCCCCGGCUCCCCGGGCAUGGACACGGCUCCACGUACUUACUGCCAAGCCUGCGUGUCUACUGUGUAUUGUCAAUAAAGCUUUCAAAC